rnacentral:lncRNA from 1 species
AUGAAUGUUUAAUAACAAUUUUUAAAUAUGCAUGAUACAUAAAUAAUUUUGUUCAACAAAAACAAUUUACCAACUUAAAAAAUUAUAUUCUUUUUUUGAAUACUUUGGAUAUAACAUUCUUACAAUAUUUGAAAAUAAAUAACCCUAGACGAGCCCUACUCUAUAUUAGAAGAUAUGAUUUUACAAAUUUUAACACAUGCAAUAUUUUUACUUCAUACGUUAAAACGUGGGUUAAAAUUUAUGUUUUAACGUAAGCUAUGAAAAGUUUGCCAUGUUAUUUCAACGUAUCUAAAUAUGCCACCCAAAAUAUUUUGUAUGAUGAAAAGUUUUUGGUUAGAAGUCAAAAUAAUUAUAGAAACCCUUAAAACUUGAAGCUAGGGAUGUCAAACCAUUCCAACUCAUGAAAAUAUGGGUAUUAAUGGAUUAAUGCGUUAAAGUGUUAAACUCACUAUAUGUGAAAAUAUAUUAAACUUAUACACCAAACUAUAGUGUAUAAUGAAAAGUUUAGUUAAAAAAUCAAAACAAUUUACUUAAACUUUUUAUCAAAAAGACCUUAAACAAACUAUUUGUUUUCAUCAUAUUUUAAUUUAACAUUUAUAUUUUUUUUAAAGUAAAAACAUUUUGUAUAAUGAUGUUGUUGAUAAAAAUCAAAACUUACUUAAAAAUAUUCAUCAUAAAAAAACCUUUAAAUCUAAGCGUUAAAUUUACAAUACGUGAAAAACAUGUUGAACUUAUACACCUCUAACGGACCACAAAGGGACUGGAUGUUCGGCCCAUUUUGUUUUCAACAUAAUUAAAUUUAACACUUAGAUUUAACCCAGAAAAAACCAUUUUUAUUUAUUCAAAAUUAAAAUUGUUUAAUUGAAAUUUGAUUUAAAAAACCUUGAUAGUUUAAAAUCAGAAAAAAUAGAAAUGGAAAAUAUAAAAUCUUUUUUUCUUUUAUGUAUAUUUUAGAAGAUAUAAACAUAUAUCAAAAUCUAUUAUUCUUAGUUAAAAAUAAAAGUUAGAAAAGUUAUAAUAUACCUUCAAGGCUGUGAUAUCUCCCAUAUCUCAAGUAUCCUGUGACGACUCAGACAGUGUCCGUUCCCGAAUUUUACACAUAAUACAAAACAAACAACACAUCAGAGACUUCAUAAUUUGACACUAAUUCAAUCUUUUUAUAAUUAAAGACAAACUAUUACGAACCUGCUAAUACCUGGUGAAAGCGUUUAAGUGGCUAGAUUCAAUAUCCUGUGACAUCGAUCUUGACUGAAAGAAAACAGAGGAUCAAUAAAAAUCAUCAUUCAAUCAAUGAAACGAAGAUGUAAUAUGUAUACUUUGUGCUCUGAUCAAUCUCUAAACUUACAGAUGAUGUAAUAUGUUGCAGAGAUCAUCAUCAUCAUCGUAGGAAUCGACAUUCGUUUUCUAAUCUUCUGGACCAUCGAAUCUUGAGUCACCUCCCU